AUUCUGCUAAUACUGACCAAGCAUCUGCUGUCCAGAGAUGUCACCCUAAACCUGUGAUCCUUCCAGUCCUCAGACUUCACACUCUCCACUCAGAAAUGACGGAACUGAGAUUUAGCUCCAAGCAAAUCUGAAUUUGAAUCGUGGCCUCAUCACCUGUCAGGCUGAGGACUGGCCUUGGGCAGCAGCAUGGCGGUAGGCCAAGGCGGGAAGAUAAAGAGAACAACUGCGCCAUCUGCUGGGCAUCCUGGACAAGCUCAUCUGCGUCCAGGUGCUGAGGAUACUGUGGUGAACAGCAUACCUAGGAAGGCAGGACCACCAAAAUGCACUGCGGUGAGAGGGAUGAAGAGGAAGAUCCAAGCAGACAGAACAGAUGCAAAAGCCCAUCAAAGCUUUUCCCGAGAGCCCAGGGUCAGCAGAAACCCAGCCUUACAGACACACUUUUUAGAGCUCUUGACAUUUCCUCAAAGAAAGAACGGUCCUCUGUCUUUGAAGAUUGACAUUCUCUGGCACCAAGCGGGAAUACUGCUAGCAAAUCUUUUCCCUUUCUUAAAGUAGCUGUAAAAAGGAUGAUUAAACCAUAGAAAUGGGAGCAUCACUGAAAAAAAGAAGUUUUGUAAAGAUCAGCAUGGUGCAGUUCAGAGUGUUUAGGAUCUAUCAGUAUCUGGAAUCAGCAGAUACAGGUUCAAAAUCAUUCUGUAAAUGUUCCACCACUGGAAAACUUUCAAAAUAUCAGACAGCCA
ensembl:lncRNA